UAGAGUUUGAUCCUGGCUCAGGAUGAACGCCGGCGGCGUGGAUAAGGCAUGCAAGUCAAACGGACUUUGUAGCAAUACAGAGCACCGUGGCGAACGAGUUAGUAACACCUUGGUACGUACCCGGAAGUCGGGCACAACUAGUCGAAAGAUUAGAUAAUUCCCGAUAGUCCCUCAUCGGUAAAGAUGCAAAUCGCUUCCGGAGCGGCCUAGGUCCUAUCAGCUUGUUGGCGAGGUAACGGCUCACCAAGGCUACGACGGGUAGGGGAUGUGAGAGCAUGAUCCCCAACGACGGUACUGAGAGACGGACCGUACAUUUACGGAUGGCAGCAGUCAAGAACAUUCGACAAUGGGCGAAAGCCUGAUCGAGCGACGCCGCGUGCAGGAAGAAGGGCUUCGGCCUGUAAACUGCUUUUACCAUGGAAAAAUUUUGAUUGUACAUGGGGAAUAAGGGGUUGCUAACCUCGUGCCAGCAGCCGCGGUAAUAAUCGAAC
rnacentral:rRNA from 1 species